rnacentral:lncRNA from 1 species
CGGCGAUAGGAUUAUUUUGGAGGGAAAGAAGAAGACGAGAACACAUUAUUAUCAGGCGGAGAGCCCAGUACGAGGUGGAGCUUUAGGAGCCAGGAGAAGCACAGAGCGAGGUGGAGCUUCAGAUGAAGGUGGAUCGGGCACGAGAUAGGAGACUCAGAAGGAUGAAAGGCAAUAUCACAAGAUGAGAUUCCUAUUGCAGCAGGAUAAUAUUCCGAGCAGAUCUUA